AUUGAACGCUGGCGGCAGGCCUAACACAUGCAAGUCGAGCGCGCGGCGGGCGGGUGAGUGAUGUCUGGGAAAAUGCCUGAGGGGGGGGGGGAACUACUGGAAACGGUAGCUAAUACCCCAUACCAUCAGGUGUGCCCAGAUGGGAUUAGCUAGUGGGUGGGGUAACGGCGCACCUAGGCGACGAUCCCUAGCUGGUCUGAGAGGAUGACCAGCCACACUGGAACUGAGACACGGUCCAGACUCCUACGGGAGGCAGCAGUGGGGAAUAUUGGACAAUGGGCGAAAGCCUGAUGCAGCCAUGCCGCGUGUGUGAAGAAGGCCUUCGGGUUGUAAAGCACUUUCAGCGGGGAGGCGUUACCCGCAGAAGAAGCACCGGCUAACUCCGUGCCAGCAGCCGCGGUAAUAC
rnacentral:rRNA from 1 species